AGGGAAAUAGCUCAGUGGUAGAGCGUGUGCUUAGCAUGCACCCUGUCCUGGGUUCAAUUCCCAGUACCUCUA
rnacentral:tRNA from 1 species